CCUGGACCACUGAUUUGAGGCCUUUCUGCUUCCUUUGAUUCAGUCUUUGGCAGAGACCCAGGAGCAGGAGUCCUUGAUGGCACCUGGCCCUUUCUAGUCACCGACAAGGGAAACCUGAGAAACCAUUCUCAGAAAUGGAACUAAAUUGACACAGCAUUUGUCUCCUCCAGAGGAUACAGCACCAAGGCGCCAUCUUGGAAGUAGACUGGAGCUCUUAGCAGACCAGAACCUGUGGGUGUGUUGAUCUUGUACUUCCUGACCUCCAGAACUGCAUAUUAUGAAUAUUCAGUGAAACAACGUGUGUGCUCACCAGGCAGGAAGAGCUCAGCAAAUGGUGGCUGGUCUGGAAAUUAUUGUCAUCACUAUAAUCCUCAUCGACAUCCUCAGCCUUAUUGUCAUCAUCAUCAACCUCAUCAGUGUCAUCAUCAGCCUCAUCAACGUCAUCAUCAGCCUCAUCACUGUCAUCAUCAGCCCUUUGUCAUCAUCAUCAUCCACCUUGCUGUUCUCUUCCUUGUUGACAUCAUUAUCCUCAUCCUCCUCAUCACCAUCAACAGCAUUAUUUUUAUUUUUUAUUCUUCCACCUGUAAGAGUUUCUUUUCCUCCCUCUUAUUGUUUUCCUCUUGGGAUGACUAGUGGUGAAGGAAGUGUCAGAGGCAAUGACCUCACAGCUGUCGUUGCCAUGGGUGACACCUCCCAGAAAGAGCUUAUUGGAACUUUCAGUCCAGGGGAGUUUCUGCUGUUCCAGGAUGGAGGAAAUGUUCAAGAACUGUGGAGCAUCUGAGAUUUUUUUCCUACUUUUGAUGUCCACCUAGUCAAAGUUCAGGAUCUACAGGUGACCAAGAGCCUGCUGUCUGGUUAUGGAAGGUCUCAGCUUUGGUUGUGUCAGUGAAUGAAGACCAGGACAGUCACAGUUGUAUGAGGAGGCUGGGGGCAUCCCUUACAGUCCCUUUGAGGGAGGUGCAGUCCUUGUAGCUGGAUGACCAUAGAGAACCAGCUUCUCUGCUGAACCAGG
rnacentral:lncRNA from 1 species